ACCGCGUAGCUCAGUUGGCAGAGCAUUGGGCUGGUAUUCCAAAGGUUGUAGGUUCGAUUCCCAUGAGCCAGGUA